UACAGAGGUGGCAAACGUUGUCCGGAUUUAUUGGGUGUAAAGGGCAUGUAGGUGGCUCUAUAAGUCAAAGGUGAAAUGGCCCGGCUCAACCAGGUCAUUGCCUUUGAAACUGCAGAACUUGAGUACGGAAGAGGAAAGCGGAAUUCCCAGUGUAGCGGUGAAAUGCGUAGAUAUUGGGAGGAACACCGGUGGCGAAGGCGGCUUUCUGGUCCGAAACUGACACUGAGAUGCGAAAGCCAGGGGAGCAAACGGG
rnacentral:rRNA from 1 species